rnacentral:rRNA from 1 species
UACAGCGGGAAGCCACCUGGCGACAGGGAGCGGAACCCGAAAGCCUGUCUCAGUUCGGAUUGGAGUCUGCAACCCGACUCCAUGAAGCUGGAUUCGCUAGUAAUCGCGCAUCAGCCACGGCGCGGUGAAUACGUUCCCGGGCCUUGUACACACCGCCCGUCAAGCCAUGGAAGCCGGGGGUGCCUGAAGUGCGCUGCCGCAAGGAGCGCCCUAGGGUAAAACCGGUGACUGGGGCUAAGUCGUAACAAGGUAGC